rnacentral:rRNA from 1 species
AGAUUGAACGCUGGCGGCAGGCCUAACACAUGCAAGUCGAGCGGUAGAGAGGUGCUUGCAUCUCUUGAGAGCGGCGGACGGGUGAGUAAUGCCUAGGAAUCUGCCUAGUGGUGGGGGAUAACGUUCGGAAACGGACGCUAAUACCGCAUACGUCCUACGGGAGAAAGCGGGGGACCUUCGGGCCUCGCGCCAUUAGAUGAGCCUAGGUCGAUUAGCUAGUUGGUGAGGCAAUGGCUCACCAAGGCGACGAUCCGUAACUGGUCUGAGAGGAUGAUCAGUCACACUGAACUGAGACACGGUCCA